CGUUAUUCUACAAAGGAAGCAGGAGUGUGCAGACAAAACGGCUGACAGAAUAAGAGAGGUCACCGGUCAGCUGCAGCGAUGGAGCAAAGCAGUGAAAUCUGAGCCAUCAUCGCUCAACCAGGCGGCCAUGGAUGAAGGUCUGCAGCAUCAGCGAGUGCUGGACGAGCUGCUGUCGGAGCAAAUCUUUCUUCUGAAUUGUCUGGGAGCUAAAGUGUCAAAGAAACUGCGGAAUAAGGCUUCAGGGGCUCUGAAAGACAGCAGACCUGCAUUUGAAAUACUAUCUAAAUACCUGUUGGAUGACAGCUCCAGGAGAGCACAGAUGGAAAACAGUGAUUUUCAAAGUGGAAGCAGUGAAGACAGACCUCAAUAUUCACCUUCAUCUGAGGAGACUUACCUCCAAACACCUCCUGCUUCCACGUCUUCUUCUGCAACAAGCAACAACACUGAAACUCAGAGCAGU